AGGACAAUUGUUGGACCAUAUGGUAAAAAUGUUUAGUUUUGGAAGAAACUGCCAAACUGUUUUCUAAAUUAGCUGUACCAUUUUUCAUUCCCACCAGCAGU
rnacentral:pre_miRNA from 1 species